rnacentral:lncRNA from 1 species
GUCUUCACCACUGCUGCUUAUGAUGACCAUAAAAACAUUGUGCUGUUGUCUUUCGAGAUAAUGGAAAAGAUUGUGCGAGAUUAUUUUCCACAUAUUACGGAGACUGAGACCACCACAUUCACAGACUGCGUUAACUGCCUUAUUGCAUUCACUAAUAGUAGGUUCAACAAAGAUAUUAGUCUCAAUGCCAUUGCUUUCCUUCGUUUAUGUGCGGCAAAACUUGCUGAAGGUGAUCUUGGCUCCUCGAGAAACAAGGACAAAGAAACUUCUGGGAAGCCUUCACCAUCUUCACCUCAUACAGAAAAAGACCACAAUAUUGAAAAUGGAGAAUUGACAGAUAAGGAGGACCACUGGGAAGCCUUCGCCAUCUUCACCUCAUAAAGAAAAAGACCACAAUAUUGAAAAUGGAGAAUUGACAGAUAAGGAGGACAUCUGUAUUUCUGGUUUCCUCUGUUGGCUGGUAAGGACAAAGAUUUAGCUAACCAAGAUUUC